CCAACUCGAGCUCUUUUUACCUGAGCUGUUUGUGUACAUGUGUCCAAACUCUCCCAUGGGUUAUGAUUAUGAUGCUGCGCUUGGACACAUUCAAGGCAACCGUCAUUUAAGACGGUAUUAUGAAAAGCGAGGGAAGCAGUCAGCCAUGCUUAUUUUCCUCACAGGCGCUGACGCUCAGGUUCAGGAUAUUAGCGCUCUUCAUUACAUGCUGAAGGUCAAGGCCGGCCGCUCUGAGAGAGACGAUUAACUGCCAACAACAACCUCAGCGAUGUUUCUCACCUUCAUCUCAAAAACACAGAGCUGCUCGAGGAGAACAGAGCGAGAGUUUCCAUCUGAGCUGCUGUUGUGGAAACAUGUUCUGUUCUGACUGUGACGCAAGAGUGUGUGAUGACUGUAACUUCCAGAGAACUGCUGAUAGCAUCGACACCAGAGCUGCCCUGAUCCAGUGCAAACUCAACGUUUCGCUCUUCCUUAUUAUUAUUAUCCCUUGUUUUUCAGACCUGAAUGAGAUGUUUAGCAGAAUGUCCAAGCUGCUCUUUUCCAUUAAACAAGAGUGAACAAAGAUAAAAGCAACACACUAAAGAAACGUUUUGUUUGCAUGUUUACUCACCUCAUGAAAGUGUUUAUUUAUUAAGAGUUUUGGUUUUAUGGACUCGUGUUUGAGUUAAAAAGGUCUUAAUGCUGGAUGUGUUUCAUCUUUUGUCUUCUCCAGAUGUUAACUGAUGGACUGGAGUGCUGUGGAUUACUUGUGGAUUAUUGUGAUGUUUUUAUCAGCUGUUUGGACUCUCAUUCUGACGGCACCCAUUCACUGCAGAGCAUCCAUUGCUCAGACACUGAUGCAGUGCGACAUUUCUACAAACCUGAUGAAGAAACAAACUCAUCCUGAUCUCGGAUGAUCUGAGGCUCUCUGUCAGGUAAACAACAGGUGGAGAGCGUUCACCUUGACUCCUGCAGCCAGACUGUUUGUCACCCAUCUGCC
ensembl:lncRNA